ensembl:lncRNA
AAGGAAGGGAACUACACAUGGGUGUGGGAACCAAGAGGGCAUGUGUGAUCUUAGCUACGCAACCAGGGAUCAAACCUGUAAAUCCUGCACUGGAAGCAUGGAGUCUUAACCACUGGACUGCCAGGCAAGCCCUUUGAGUUUCCACUUUGAGCAGAGACUUAGGAGAGAACGCUUUCUGCCCUUCUCCAUUCCUGCAUUCUUAGGGCUGGAGGCCCCGUUCCCCAUCUGACGACGGACCUGCACGCAAUACAGAAUGACCGACAAUCCACUCUGGAAGCUGAACGUGAGGGGCAAGGCCUUUGGAACCUGAGGUGGAGGGUUAUGAGGAAGUAGAUCCAGGACUAUUACAUUUCCUGGUGACUACAGGGUUGGCCACGAGGUAUUUACUGAAUACCUACUGUGUGCUGUCAGUCUGCUUAGGAUCUAUGCAGGAGCCCUGCCAGAGAAGCCCAUCCCAGGAGCACAGUCAGAAAGCAGACACACAGCCCGGGAAGAAGUACCGCCUUGAGUCGUGAGCAGACGUGCAUGCUUACCAUUCAUCCUAGCUAUUCUUUUAAGUAGGGGCUCCCAGGAAAUGUGCCAUCCUGAACAGCACUUCUGCCCUUUGUUUGUUUGUUGCGUAAUGACUUUGUUUCACAUGCUCUGCUUAAAUGGAUGGACUCCCCUCUCCCACCCCUCUCACUGGUCAUAACUCUUUCUGUUCCCAUUUCAUCGGAGACAGGUGCCCUCCAAACCACACUCCCCACAUUUAUCACAGCUAAAUAGCUUCCUGAUGCCUUCUCCCCUAUUUCUGAAAGCAAGCGCCUCU